rnacentral:rRNA from 1 species
AGUUUGAUCCUGGCUCAGGAUGAACGCUAGCGGCAGGCUUAACACAUGCAAGUCGAGGGGCAGCGCGGGAUAGCAAUAUCCUGGCGGCGACCGGGGAAGGGUGUUACCGUGAAAGCAUCCCUUUCCCCGGGAAACCGGGAGGACACCGUAAUACUCCCGGGAGGGAUACGAGCUUCCAAGCCAUUUUAAAAAAAGUACGGGGGGAAAGGAAUUGCCUCCUUCCAAAUUACUUUGUUGCGGGGUUACCGCCCCCACAAGGGCUAAAAUCGGUUAGGGUUUUGAGAGAGAAGGCCCCCCAAAAAGGGGAAUGAACACGGCCCAUAUCUCUUACGGGAGGCACCAGUGAGGAAUAUUGGUCAAAGGGGGGAAGCCUGAACCAACCCAUGCCGGGUGCGGGAAGGAGGCCCUUAUGGGCUGUGAACCGUUUUUGCCUGGGGCAAUAAGGGCGUCGCGCACGUCCGAUGAGAGUACCAGGCGAAUAAGCAUCGGCUAACUCCGUGCCAGCAGCCGCGGUAAUACGGGGGAUGCGAGCGUUAUCCGGAUUCAUUGGGUUUAAAGGGUGCGUAGGCUGUGCGUCAAGUCGGGGGUGAAAUUCCGGUGCUCAACACCGGGGGCUGCCCUUGAUACUGUCGCGCUGGAGUGCGGAUGCCGCCGGAGGAAUGAGUGGUGUAGCGGUGAAAUGCUUAGAUAUCACUCAGAACACCGAUUGCGAAGGCAUCUGGCGAAUCCGUAACUGACGCUGAGGCACGAAAGCGUGGGGAUAGAACAGGAUUAGAUACCCUGGUAUUCCACGCCGUAAACGAUGAUGGCUAACCGCCGGCGACACACUGUCGGUGGCCAAGCGAAAGCGAUAAGCCAUCCACCUGGGGAGUACGUCGGCAACGAUGAAACUCAAAGGAAUUGACGGGGGCCCGCACAAGCGGAGGAACAUGUGGUUUAAUUCGAUGAUACGCGAGGAACCUUACCCGGGCUCGAACGGCACCUGAAUCGCCCAGAGAUGGGCGAGUCUUCGGACAGGUGUCGAGGUGCUGCAUGGUUGUCGUCAGCUCGUGCCGUGAGGUGUCGGCUCAAGUGCCAUAACGAGCGCAACCCUUGCCGCCAGUUGCCAUCAGGUGAUGCUGGGCACUCUGGCGGGACUGCCACCGCAAGGUGUGAGGAGGGGGGGGAUGACGUCAAAUCAGCACGGCCCUUACGUCCGGGGCGACACACGUGUUACAAUGGCGGCCACAGAGGGAAGCUACCCCGCGAGGGGAUGCGGAUCUCGAAAAGCCGUCCCAGUUCGGACUGGAGUCUGCAACCCGACUUCACGAAGUUGGAUUCGCUAGUAAUCGCGCAUCAGCCAUGGCGCGGUGAAUACGUUCCCGGGCCUUGCACACACCGCCCGU